CAUGUGGGUCAAAUCUGUUCAAAACAUUAUGACAGAAGUACAUUCACUGUGUUUAAAAUGAUGUUUUUUUUCUAGAGAAACAAAUGUGCAGGCACAUGAAAUUAUUGCACAUCUGGCACUGGCAAUUGACCACAAGAAGGUCAGCAGGUUCAAUAUAUGUCGGUCAGAGGUGUGGGAUCGAGCUGUUCGUGGAUUUCAACGCAUGUAUUCUAACAUGAACGACAUGUUCAUCAAGUUUAAUGAUGAUGCUGGCUGCUUUGAAAAAGGGUUGGAUGCAGGUGGCCCAAGAUGUGAAUUCCUCACACUUCUCAUGAGCCAUCUGAGAAAUCUCCCCAUCUUCGAUGGACUCCCAGAAAACAGUUAUCAAUCCAAGAGCUGCCAGGGAAGAUGAGUAUUUUUUAGCAGGAAAGAUGAUGCUGUAUCCAUUGUACAUGGAGGACCAACACCACAUUUUCUCUCAAAGAACCUGGUCAACCACAUGAUGGGGAAUCCAAGUUUCAGCGCCACUGUAGAAGAUGCGAAAGAUGAGAAGAUGGGGAAAGUUCUACAUCAGGUCCUGGAAGCAGAAUCAGAGGAAUUUCUGCAAAAUGCAAUUUUGCAAAACCGUACCAUGUUCCAAACUGCUGGAUGCCUCACAGGUGUGAAGACAUGUGAGAAGCAAGCUUUUGUGGAGGAGUAUCUUAAAUGGUACAUCACUGAUAGAAAGCACAGUGCCAUUCAACAAUUCAAAGAUGGACCGGCAAGUCUUGGUUUCCUCCAUGCAUUGCAGCAGCAUUCCAGUGUUCUGUCCCCAGUCUUAUGCUUCUCUGCCAAGGCCCUGACUGCUUCAGACUUGGAGACCAUGUUCAAA